GAUGAACGCUGGCGGCGUGCCUAAUACAUGCAAGUCGAGCGAACGGACGAGAAGCUUGCUUUUCUGAUGUUAGCGGCGGACGGGUGAGUAACACGUGGAUAACCUACCUAUAAGACUGGGAUAACUUCGGGAAACCGGAGCUAAUACCGGAUAAUAUUUUGAACCGCAUGGUUCAAAAGUGAAAGACGGUCUUGCUGUCACUUAUAGAUGGAUCCGCGCUGCAUUAGCUAGUUGGUAAGGUAACGGCUUACCAAGGCAACGAUGCAUAGCCGACCUGAGAGGGUGAUCGGCCACACUGGAACUGAGACACGGUCCAGACUCCUACGGGAGGCAGCAGUAGGGAAUCUUCCGCAAUGGGCGAAAGCCUGACGGAGCAACGCCGCGUGAGUGAUGAAGGUCUUCGGAUCGUAAAACUCUGUUAUUAGGGAAGAACAUAUGUGUAAGUAACUGUGCACAUCUUGACGGUACCUAAUCAGAUAGCCACGGCUAACUACGUG
rnacentral:rRNA from 1 species